GACGAACGCUGGCGGCGUGCUUAACACAUGCAAGUCGAACGGAAAGGCCCUGCUUUUGUGGGGUGCUCGAGUGGCGAACGGGUGAGUAACACGUGAGUAACCUGCCCUUGACUUUGGGAUAACUUCAGGAAACUGGGGCUAAUACCGGAUAGGAGCUCCUGCUGCAUGUUGGGGGUUGGAAAGUUUCGGCGGUUGGGGAUGGACUCGCGGCUUAUCAGCUUGUUGGUGGGGUAGUGGCUUACCAAGGCUUUGACGGGUAGCCGGCCUGAGAGGGUGACCGGCCACAUGGGGACUGAGAUACGGCCCAGACGCCUACGGGAGGCAGCAGUGGGGAAUAUUGCACAAUGGGCGGAAGCCUGAUGCAGAAACGCCGCGUGCGGGAUGACGGCCUUCGGGUUGUAAACCGCUUUCGCCUGUGACGAAGCGUGAGUGACGGUAAUGGGUAAAGAAGCACCGGCUAACUACGUG
rnacentral:rRNA from 1 species